rnacentral:rRNA from 1 species
UAGGGAAUCUUCCGCAAUGGGCGAAAGCCUGACGGAGCAACGCCGCGUGAGUGAUGAAGGUCUUCGGAUCGUAAAACUCUGUUACUAGGGAAGAACAAAUGUGUAAGUAACUAUGCACGUCUUGACGGUACCUAAUCAGAAAGCCACGGCUAACUACGUCCCAGCAGCCGCGGUAAUACGUAGGUGGCAAGCGUUAUCCGGAAUUAUUGGGCGUAAAGCGCGCGUAGGCGGUUUUUUAAGUCUGAUGUGAAAGCCCACGGCUCAACCGUGGGGGGUCAUUGGAAACUGGAAAGCUUGAGUGCAGAAGAGGAAAGUGGAAUUCCAGGUGUAGCGGUGAAAUGCGCAGAGAUAUGGAGGAAAACCAGUGGCGAAGGCGACUUUCUGGUCUGUAACUGACGCUGAUGUGCGAAAGCGUGGGGAUCAAACAGG